GAUGAAGAACGUAGCGAAAUGCGAUAAGUAAUGUGAAUUGCAGAAUUCAGUGAAUCAUCGAAUCUUUGAACGCACAUUGCGCCCGCCAGUAUUCUGGCGGGCAUGUCUGUUCGAGCGUCAUUUCAACCAUCAAGCCCCCGGCUUGUGUUGGGGACCUGCGGCUGCCGCAGGCCCUGAAAAGCAGUGGCGGGCUCGCUGUCACACCGAGCGUAGUAGAUUUCAUCUCGCUCAGGGCGUGCUGCGGGUUCCGGCCGUUAAACCACCUUCAUAACCCAAGGUUGACCUCGGAUCAGGUAGGAAGACCCGCUGAACUUAAGCAUAUCAAUAAGCGGAGGA
rnacentral:misc_RNA from 1 species